rnacentral:miRNA from 1 species
CCAAACCAGUCGUGCCUGUGG